rnacentral:rRNA from 1 species
ACCUGACUGCUAUCGGAUUGGUACUAAGCCAUGUGAGUCAUUGUAGCAAUACAAGGCAUACGGCUCAGUAACACGUAGUCAAUCUGCCCUAUGGACGUGGAUAACCUCGGGAAACUGAGAAUAAUCCGCGAUAGAUCAUAAUGCCUGGAACGGUUUAUGGUCCAAAUGAUUCGUCGCCAUAGGAUGGGACUGCGGCCUAUCAGCUUGUUGGUGAGGUAAUGGCCCACCAAGGCUAUUACAGGUACGGGCUCUGAGAGGAGAAGCCCGGAGAUGGGUACUGAGACACGGACCCAGGCCCUAUGGGGCGCAGCAGGCGAGAAACCUUUGCAAUGUGCGCAAGCACGACAAGGUUAAUCCGAGUGUUUCCUGCUAAAGGAAUCUUUUGUUAGUUCUAAAACCACUGAUGAAUAAGGGGUGGGCAAGUUCUGGUGUCAGCCGCCGCGGUAAAACCAGCACCUCAAGUGGUCAGGAGGAUUAUUGGGCCUAAAGCAUCCGUAGCCGGUUCUGUAAGUUUCCGGUUAAAUCCACUAGCUCAACUAAUGGGCUGCCGGAAAUACUGCAGAACUAGGGAGUGGGAGAGGUAGACGGUACUCGGGAGGAAGGGGUAAAAUCCUUUGAUCUCUUGAUGACCACCUGUGGCGAAGGCGGUCUACCAGAACACGUUCGACGGUGAGGGAUGAAAGCUGGGGGAGCAAACCGGAUUAGAUACCCGGGUAGUCCCAGCUGUAAACGAUGCAGACUCGGCGAUGCACUGGCUUUUGGCCAGUGCAGUGCCGCAGGGAAGCCGUUAAGUUUGCCGCCUGGGAAGUACGUACGCNAGUAUGAAACUUAAANGGAAUUGGCGGGGGAGCACCACAAGGGGUGAAGCCUGCGGUUCAAUUGGAGUCANCGCC